CCUACGGGUGGCAGCAGUGAGGAAUAUUGGUCAAUGGACGAGAGUCUGAACCAGCCAAGUAGCGUGAAGGAUGACUGCCCUAUGGGUUGUAAACUUCUUUUAUAUGGGAAUAAAAUGUCCCACGUGUGGGAUUUUGUAUGUACCAUAUGAAUAAGGAUCGGCUAACUCCGUGCCAGCAGCCGCGGUAAUACGGAGGAUCCGAGCGUUAUCCGGAUUUAUUGGGUUUAAAGGGAGCGUAGGUGGAUUGUUAAGUCAGUUGUGAAAGUUUGCGGCUCAACCGUAAAAUUGCAGUUGAAACUGGCAGUCUUGAGUGCAGUAGAGGUGGGCGGAAUGCGUGGUGUAGCGGUGAAAUGCUUAGAUAUCACGAAGAACUCCGAUUGCGAAGGCAGUUCACUGGACUGCAACUGACACUGAGGCUCGAAAGUGUGGGUAUCAAACAGGAUUAGAUACCCUAGUAGUC
rnacentral:rRNA from 1 species